AGUGAACGCUGGCGGCAGGCCUAAUACAUGCAAGUCGAACGGCAGCACAGCAGAGCUUGCUCUGUGGGUGGCGAGUGGCGGACGGGUGAGGAAUACAUGGGAAUCUGCCCAGUCGUGGGGGAUAACGUAUGGAAACGUACGCUAAUACCGCAUGCGCCCUAAGGGGGAAAGCCGGGGACCGCAAGGCCUGGCGCGAUUGGAUGAGCCCAUGUUCGAUUAGCUAGUUGGCGGGGUAAAGGCCCACCAAGGCGACGAUCGAUAGCUGGUCUGAGAGGAUGAUCAGCCACACUGGAACUGAGACACGGUCCAGACUCCUACGGGAGGCAGCAGUAGGGAAUAUUGGACAAUGGGGGCAACCCUGAUCCAGCCAUGCCGCGUGAGUGAAGAAGGCCUCGGGUUGUAAAGCUCUUUUGUCCGGAAGAAAGCAAUCGGUUAAUACCCGGUUGUUCUGACGGUACCGGAAGAAUAAGCACCGGCUAACUUCGUGCCAGC
rnacentral:rRNA from 1 species